ensembl:lncRNA
GGAGCACUAUAAGAAGAGCAGCAUGGCAAAGAAACAUGGAGGCCAUUCACAGCUUCCACUCACACCUGGACUGUGGAGUUUCUUUAUAAUUGGACUUAACUUUCCAGAUCACUUGCAGCAACUUGGAUUGUAUAUACACAGGUGGACACUCACAAUGGGACUCAUCGACACACUGGGAUUCUUGGACUGUUUUAGGGAAAACAGCUAUCACGUUUGAUAAUGGACCAUUUAACGGCUUGCUCCAGGGCCUGUGAUGGAUUUAAUGACAAAAAUCAUUUCCGCCUACAAGCUGCACGAAAAAACGCACCCAUAUAAGCAGAAUUGCAUUGGUCCCAGAAGACCUGCGCCACCUGUUCUUGAAAUCCGCAUGACCCGGAUCAAACACCAGUGGUAAAUGGGCUUCGCUGUCUUUGUUUCAUUUCAUUUUGUGCUUGUUUUUGCUUGAUUAAGUGAUGAAUGAAAAGCUUUAUUGUAUCAGCGUGUAUCUCAAUGGCUGCCAUCUGUCUGAGGGCCCCGUUCGUUCAUUCGCCGUCGUGGGAGGAAGCUGCUUUAUUGAUUCGAUUCUGAGUCCCCUUGCAGGCCAUGCCAAAUCUUUGAGUUAAAUGACAAACAGGCUGACAGAAAAGAAAAAUGAUUCUUCUAAACGUGUGCCAGGAUGUGAAUAUAUUUCCUGAGGACAUCUCUCACAGCCAGGGGACUCACAUUUUGGCUGGCUUUGAUUGGUUUGAUGGUGUCUGCAUCCUCGCAGCUGGGCGAGAACGCUGGUUUCUCAACGUACGAGACCUUUAAGAGGAUUUACAGCGUUUUGCGUCGGGAGCCUUCGGGUUUGUGUCUCAUUAAUACCUGAGAAUCUCUCUGGAUUUGUUAUGGGAUGAAAUGAAUGUUGCGUACUUGCUGUUGUGCUUUGAAGUCUGUAAUCCUCCUUCAAUUCAAGGUCAAGUUAUUGAGGUCUGCACUUUAUUAUUAAGCUCUAAUCUUUAUUUAACAAGUGAUAUGGUGAAUAUGCUAAUAGCAACUAAUUUUUUUUUCCAUUAACAGCGUGUAGUUAUAAAUAUAGAGGCCAGAUAUAUAGAAUAAAACUAUAAACCACUCUAAAGUGAUUUAUACU